UUUCUCAUUGACAAUCAACCAACUACUAGCUAAUUACCAAGACAAAAGAGAGGAGAAUUAACCGUGAGUUUUCAUUGUUCAAGAAUAUGAAAUUCUCCCUCUAUAUGGAGCUUCUUUCCAUGACUGGAUUUCUACGGUACAAGCUGGGUGUUUGCAUUUGAGCUUGGUUUGGCUUUUGCUUGGUUCGUUUGGCUGCUGACAUGUAAGAUUUGAGGUAGUCCAUGAGUGGACAUUUAAGUGAUAUUCUGGAGCUUUCUUGAGUGGAAGAUUGCUUGGUUUUACUUUGUGUUGGUGCGUUGGUCGUGCUUUAUUUAUUGAUCAGAUACAUCUGUUCUCUUGGCUGGGAUGCCUUGUCUUAUUUGAUUGGAGCUGUUUGACGUUGUGGUUAUCAAGCUGCGAGGUGGUAGAAUAGUUGGCUGGCUAUGAAGUGAUAACCUGGUGCAGCUUUCGAUAUUAUAAGUGAUGGAUGAUUUUGAAACUAAACUUGCUUGUACAAAGUGUAGUGCUAUGUUAAAGUUGUGUUUCAAGCUUUGUACAUAUUCUUCUAGAUCUUUGAAAAGGAAAUAUAUUUGAACUUCAUGAGAUUUUUAAUUCUCAAGUUCCA